UACGUAGGGCGCAAGCGUUGUCCGGAAUUAUUGGGCGUAAAGAGCUCGUAGGCGGUUUGUCGCGUCUGCUGUGAAAACCUAAGGCUCAACCUUGGGCUUGCAGUGGGUACGGGCAGACUAGAGUGCGGUAGGGGUGACUGGAAUUCCUGGUGUAGCGGUGGAAUGCGCAGAUAUCAGGAGGAACACCGAUGGCGAAGGCAGGUCACUGGGCCGCAACUGACACUGAGAGACGAAAGCUAGGGGAGCGAAUGGG
rnacentral:rRNA from 1 species